UCGGCGCAGGCCAGCGUCGGUUCGAGUGGGAGGAUAAAGGCGUCUGGAAUGUGGCUCCUCCGGGAGUGUUAUAGCCAGACGUGCCAUGCUCCCGCCCGGACCGAGGUACGCGUUCUGCAAGGACGCUGGCGUAAUGGU
rnacentral:rRNA from 1 species